rfam:Oryza nivara chromosome 4, whole genome shotgun sequence.
AAUAAGUGCAGUUUCAAUGUUUGACCGUUCGUCUUAUUUGAAAUUUUUUUAUGUUUACUAUUUUUAUUGUUAUUAGAUGAUAAAACAUGAAUAGAACUUUAUGUGUGACUAAUUUGUUUUAAAAAUUUUCAUAAAUUUUUCAAAUAAGACGGACGGUCAAACGUUGGAUACGGAUUUCAACGACUGGACUUAUU